AUGGUGACGGCGCCAGGUGUACUGACGACCCUUGUGUUAACAGGAUUGUGUGUCCACGUCACAGGAUCAUCUAGAGCCGUCUGUACCACCCGUCUGUAUUCCCUGAACUUAAACUGUGUCCUGCAGUGGGAUUGUCCACAGGCGAACGCUACCACCACCUACACCGUCCAAACUAAGACUCAGGGUGAUUCGUGGCAGGACGUGGAGAGUUGUGUGCGGUUCUCCUCCCAGCUGUGUGACCUGUCCGAGGCCUUCUCUAACUUCGAGGUGUACAACAUGAUCCGCCUGGGCCUCCACCAGGGCCCGGGGAGUCCAGUCUGGACAGAAAAUCUGGUGUUUGGCGUCCGUGAUUUCAACUUCAGCAGCCCCUCCGUCUUGGUCUCUCUGUCUGGAGAGAGGCUGGGAGUGGAGGUGCACUUACCUUGUUCUAGCAAAAGGGAGUGUCUUCCUCUGCAGAGUUGCUGUCCACUGUCAAAAUUUAUUGACCUCUGGGUCACCGUGACAGUAUAUGACCGACAGAACCCCUCCGACUACAAGACGCAGAUUGGUUUGGUCCAGACGAUGGUGUAUGGGGCAGAGUUCUCAAACCUGGUCCCAGGACAUGACUACUGUGUUGUGGCUAACUUCUCCGUCAGUCCGGACACCUUCCCCCAGGCCUCGUCUCCUCCCUCGGACCCCAGUUGUGUCCACCAUGCUGGCCCAGGACUAGGGUUGCAGCCAGUGUUGGGGAUAGGAGUGUGUGCUGUACUCUUCUCUCCUCUCCUUGCUCUGGCUCUGUACCUGCUGAAACAAAAACGAGAUGCACCACACGUAAACAGACUCCCCAAGUCUCUAGCAUCUCUUCAGGCAUUCCUCCAGGACCUGCCGGAGUCCCCUUCAGACCCUGUUGACCCCAGUGACAUUGUAGACGACCACCUCUCCAUCCUGUCCUCUUUCUCCAGCUGUGUCUGCACCGAGGCCCAGGCCCCAAGCCUGGGUAAUGGGUACAACAGCAACCCCUUCCUCAGUGACUAUAGGUCAGGCAACAUGCACUGGAACACUGAGAGAAUGGAGCUGGACCUGAACUCAGGCAGCACCAUAUCCCUGCCAUGCUCCACUGUGCCUAUAGGCCUGCAUAUGAUCCAGUGCAGCUUUGAUUCACCUCGACAACCACAUCCAGGGCCCAAUGUGCCAGUUCUACCGUACCCUGGUUCUCCAUCUCUGUCAGAGGCCGUGGAGGGCCAGGUGGUCCCGUUGUGUUCUGUGAGGUUUGGGAGGGUGAGUGAGGGGGAUGGGGGUGAGAACCUUGAGGGACUACAGUGGUGUAACCUGUAG
rnacentral:lncRNA from 1 species